rnacentral:lncRNA from 1 species
AGACCACAGCAGCGCAGGUGAUGGGAGCUGACAAGAGCGGGUCCACCAGUCUCUGGUACAGGUCAAGACAUCUAUAGAAGUUGAAGGGAAAGGAGGGGGUUGCAGCUCCAGGAUGUUUCCUCUUAAGCGAUACAGUGACAGAAGCCUCAGGCG